rnacentral:rRNA from 1 species
UAUUGCGCAAUGGAGGAAACUCUGACGCAGUGACGCCGCGUGCGUGAAGAAGUAUUUCGGUAUGUAAAGCUCUAUCAGCAGGGAAGAUAAUGACGGUACCUGACUAAGAAGCCCCGGCUGACUACGUGCCAGCAGCCGCGGUAAUACGUAGGGGGCAAGCGUUAUCCGGAUUUACUGGGUGUAAAGGGAGCGUAGGUGGCAGGGCAAGUCAGAUGUGAAAACCCGGGGCUCAACCCCGGGAGUGCAUUUGAAACUGUCCAGCUGGAGUGCAGGAGAGGUAAGCGGAAUUCCUAGUGUAGCGGUGAAAUGCAUAGAUAUUAGGAGGAACACCAGUGGCGAAGGCGGCUUACUGGACUGUAACUGACACUGAGGCUCGAAAGCGUGGGGAGCAAACAGG